GGUUGGUCCCAGUGCAGUGGUAUUUACAACUAAUGGAUCAUAACCAGUUACAGGCUUAUUUCUUCCUUCUCCACUCUCAUUGCUUCACUUGACUAGCCUGGA
ensembl:misc_RNA Y_RNA Y RNA